rnacentral:rRNA from 1 species
UACGGAGGGGGCUAGCGUUGUUCGGAAUUACUGGGCGUAAAGCGUACGUAGGCGGCUUUGUAAGUUAGAGGUGAAAGCCCGAGGCUCAACCUCGGAACUGCCUUCGAUACUGCGGGUCUCGAGUCCGGGAGAGGUGAGUGGAAUUCCUAGUGUAGAGGUGAAAUUCGUAGAUAUUCGGAAGAACACCAGUGGCGAAGGCGACUCGCUGGACAAGUAUUGACGCUGAGGUACGAAAGCGUGGGGAGCAAACAGG